rnacentral:rRNA from 1 species
ACCCUGUCUCAAGAUUAGCCAUGCAUGUGUAAGUAUAAAUAAUUCUACUUUGAAACUGCGAAUGGCUCAUUAUAUCAGUUAUAGUUUAUUAGAAAUAAUUUACUACUUGGAUAACCGUAGUAAUUCUAGGGCUAAUACAUGAGUAAAUCCUCGACUUUGAAGAGGUGUGUUUAUUAGUAUGAAAACCAUAUGCUUUUGCAUAAUAGUGAGUAAUAAUAACCUUUCAUAUCGUAUGUUGUAAUAACGAUAGUUCUUUCAAGUUUCUGCCCUAUCAGCUUUCGAUGGUAGUGCAUUGGACUACCAUGGCAGUAACGGGUAACGAAGAAUUUGGGUUCGAUUUCGGAGAGGGAGCCUGAGAGAUGGCUACCACAUCCAAGGAAGGCAGCAGGCGCGUAAAUUACCCAAUCCUGACAUAGGGAGGUAGUGACAAUAAAUCACAAUGCGGGACUUUUAGUUUUGCAAUUGGAUUGAGAACAAUGUAAAAGAGUUAUCGAUAAACAAUUGGAGGGCAAGUCUGGUGCCAGCAGCCGCGGUAAUUCCAGCUCCAAUAGCGUAUAUUAACGUUGUUGAAAAAAAAAAACCCUAACAGUC